AUAUUCUUCAUUGCUGCGAUUCUGGAAAGCGGUGGUGAUGAACUCAUGUCCGUUGAUAUGCUUUUACUUGAUUCAGACGCGAGAAAGAAAUAGAGUUCGAGCCGGAAGAUUAUCAACCAAGAAGUUCUGUCAAGGUUCAGCUGUCAGGGAGGAAGCUCCUGGUUGGAGGAGACUCACGCAACGUGAGUUCGAAGGGAGCCAAGAAAAUCUAUAAACAAGUUCAAGGAGAAGCUUCAGACUAUGAGGAGGAAAUAUACAACUACAGAAAUUACGGGUGAACAAGCUUCUGCUUCAAAUCCUCACCAACAAAAGUGCUUUCAGUUGUCAAAGGCUAUUUGGCGAUUUGGGGAGCUGAAGGGAUAGCUUUUCAAUCUGCUAAUGGGAAAUCAAAGGAGAGUAAGAAGAGAUUGACAAAGAAGCCUAACUUGGUGUCUUCAGGUGAUGGUAAGAAUGCCCAAGACGGUAGUAAAAGAGAAGAUAUGGAGAAUUCUUUUUUUCUUGGUAUGAAUUUUCUGAAAGCAAAAUGGACCAUGAUGCCAACUGAGACUAAGAAGGAAACCCAAGAGAAGAUAGAAGAAAUUGCAUGCCAAUGAACUUGAAUGUGAGAAAAAUUGAAGAGAAAUUGAUGGCAUAAAUGAAGUUACCUCUUUGAU